ACCUGGCAUACAGUGUAGGAAUCUGUGUGUGUCAGUCUACAGCUACAUUGUCUGCUGGGUUUC
ensembl:miRNA